rnacentral:rRNA from 1 species
CAGCAGUGGGGAAUUUUGGACAAUGGGCGAAAGCCUGAUCCAGCCAUGCCGCGUGCAGGAUGAAGGCCUUCGGGUUGUAAACUGCUUUUGUACGGAACGAAAAGUCUCUUUCUAAUAAAGAGGGAUCAUGACGGUACCGUAAGAAUAAGCACCGGCUAACUACGUGCCAGCAGCCGCGGUAAUACGUAGGGUGCAAGCGUUAAUCGGAAUUACUGGGCGUAAAGCGUGCGCAGGCGGUUAUGUAAGACAGAUGUGAAAUCCCCGGGCUCAACCUGGGAACUGCAUUUGUGACUGCAUAGCUAGAGUACGGUAGAGGGGGAUGGAAUUCCGCGUGUAGCAGUGAAAUGCGUAGAUAUGCGGAGGAACACCGAUGGCGAAGGCAAUCCCCUGGACCUGUACUGACGCUCAUGCACGAAAGCGUGGGGAGCAAACAGGAUUAGAUACCCUGGUAGUCCACGCCCUAAACCGAUG